rnacentral:piRNA from 1 species
GUAGAGCAUCAGACUUUUAAUCU